rnacentral:rRNA from 1 species
GCGCAUACGGUGGAUGCCUUGGCAAUUGGAGGCGAUGAAGGACGUUGGAGCCUGCGAAAAGCUCUGGGGAGGUGGCAACCAACCUUUGAUCCAGAGAUGUCCGAAUGGGGAAACCCACCUAGCAUAAGCUAGGUAUCUCUUGACUGAAUACAUAGGUCUUGAGAGGCGAACCAGGGGAACUGAAACAUCUAAGUACCCUGAGGAAAAGAAAUCAACCGAGAUUCUCUUAGUAGCGGCGAGCGAACGGGGAUCAGCCUGCAAGUGAUAGCUUGUGUGUUAGUGGAACGGUCUGGAAAGUCCGGCGAUACAGGGUGAUAGCCCCGUACACGAAAACGCACUUGUGGUACUAAGCUUGCGAUAAGUAGGUCGGGACACGUGUUAUCUUGACUGAAGAUAGGGGGACCAUCCUCUAAGGCUAAAUACUACCAAUUGACCGAUAGUGAACCAGUACCGUGAGGGAAAGGCGAAAAGAACCCCGGAGAGGGGAGUGAAAUAGAUCCUGAAACCGUAUGCGUACAAGCAGUAGGAGCAGACUUGUUCUGUGACUGCGUACCUUUUGUAUAAUGGGUCAGCGACUUAAUGUCAGUAGCGAGCUUAACCGUUUAGGGGAGGCGUAGGGAAACCGAGUCUUAAUAGGGCGAAUUAGUUGCUGGCAUUAGACCCGAAACCCGGUGAUCUAUCCAUGGCCAGGUUGAAGAUGCCGUAACAGGCAUUGGAGGACCGAACCCACAAAUGUUGAAAAAUUUGGGGAUGAGCUGUGGAUCGGAGUGAAAGGCUAAUCAAACCGGGAGAUAGCUGGUUCUCCUCGAAAUCUAUUUAGGUAGAGCGUCGAUCGAAUACUCUUGGGGGUAGAGCACUGACUGGGCUAGGGGUCCUCACCGGAUUACCAAACCUUAUCAAACUCCGAAUACCAAGAAGUACUAAUCGGCAGACACACGGCGGGUGCUAACGUCCGUCGUGGAGAGGGAAACAACCCUGACCACCAAUUAAGGUCCCCAAAUAAUGGCUAAGUGUGAAAGGAUGUGGGAUUGCUUUGACAAUGAGGAGGUUGGCUUAGAAGCAGCCAUCCUUUAAAGAAAGCGUAACAGCUCACUGGUCUAAAUAAGGGUUCCUGCGGCGAAGAUGUAACGGGGCUAAAGAUAUGCACCGAAGCUUAGGGUUGCAGUUUACUGCAGCGGUAGCGGAGCGUUCCGUAAGUGGCUGAAGCCGAAGGGUAACCGACGGUGGACAUAUCGGAAGUGCGAAUGCUGACAUGAGUAGCGACAAAGAGUGUGAGAAACACUCUCGCCGAAAGCCCAAGGGUUCCUGCGCAAGGCUAAUCCGCGCAGGGUAAGUCGGCCCCUAAGACGAGGGCGAAAGCCGUAGUCGAUGGGAAUCAGGUUAAUAUUCCUGAACCUGGUGGUAGUGACGACCGUGAAGUGUUGUAUCCCCUUACUGGAUUGGGGGUGCUGCUGGAUCGGUCCGGGAAAUAGCUCCACCGUUAAGACCGUACCCCAAACCGACACAGGUGGGCAGGUAGAAGAUACCAAGGCGCUUGAGGGAACUAUGUUGAAGGAACUCGGCAAAAUGCCUCCGUAACUUCGGGAUAAGGAGGACCUCCUUCCGGGCAACCGGUGGGGGGUGGCACAAAAUAGGGGGUAGCGACUGUUUACUAAAAACACAGGGCUCUGCGAAGUCGCAAGACGACGUAUAGGGUCUGACGCCUGCCCGGUGCCUGAAGGUUAAAAGGAGGGGUGAGAGCUCCGAAUUGAAGCCCAGGUAAACGGCGGCCGUAACUAUAACGGUCCUAAGGUAGCGAAAUUCCUUGUCGGGU